UACGUAGGGCGCAAGCGUUGUCCGGAAUUACUGGGCGUAAAGGGCUCGUAGGCGGCCCACUAAGUCCGACGUGAAAUCCCCAGGCUUAACUUGGGAACUGCGUCGGAUACUGGUGGGCUUGAAUCCGGGAGAGGGAUGCGGAAUUCCAGGUGUAGCGGUGAAAUGCGUAGAUAUCUGGAGGAACACCGGUGGCGAAGGCGGCAUCCUGGACCGGCAUUGACGCUGAGUGAGCGAAAGCCAGGGGAGCAAACGGG
rnacentral:rRNA from 1 species